AUACGUAGGGGGCUAAGCGUUAUCCGGAUUUACUGGGUGUAAAGGGAGCGUAGACGGUUCUGCAAGUCUGGAGUGAAAGCCCGGGGCUCAACCCCGGGACUGCCUUGGAAACUGUGGAACUGGAGUGCAGGAGAGGUAAGUGGAAUUCCUAGUGUAGCGGUGAAAUGCGUAGAUAUUAGGAGGAACACCAGUGGCGAAGGCGGCUUACUGGACUGUAACUGACGCUGAGGCUCGAAAGCGUGGGGAGC
rnacentral:rRNA from 1 species